UAGGGAAUCUUCGGCAAUGGACGAAAGUCUGACCGAGCAACGCCGCGUGAAUGAAGAAGGUUUUCGGAUCGUAAAACUCUGUUGGUAGAGAAGAACGUUGGUGAGAGUGGAAAGCUCAUCAAGUGACGGUAACUACCCAGAAAGGGACGGCUAACUACGUGCCAC
rnacentral:rRNA from 1 species